GCGGGUUUAGCUCAGUUGGGAGAGCGUCAGACUGAAGUAGCACUUCAUUCCUACAUCUGAAGGUCAUGUGUUCGAUCCACAUAAACCGCA
rnacentral:tRNA from 3 species